GCAUUGGUGGUUCAGUGGUAGAAUUCUCACCUCGCACGCGGGAAACCCCGGUUCAAUUCCCAGCCAAUGCA
rnacentral:tRNA from 1 species